GACGAACGCUGGCGGCGUGCUUAACACAUGCAAGUCGAGCGGUAAGGCCCUUUCGGGGGUACGACGAGCGGCGAACGGGUGAGUAACACGUGGGUGACCUGCCCUCAGCUCUGGGAUAAGCCUGGGAAACCGGGUCUAAUACCGGAUAUGACUCCAUGACGCAUGUUGUGGGGUGGAAAGCCUUGUGCGGCUGAGGAUGGGCCCGCGGCCUAUCAGGUUGUUGGUGGGGUGANGGCCUACCAAGGCGACGACGGGUAGCCGGCCUGAGAGGGCGACCGGCCACACUGGGACUGAGACACGGCCCAGACUCCUACGGGAGGCAGCAGUGGGGAAUCUUGCGCAAUGGGCGAAAGCCUGACGCAGCGACGCCGCGUGAGGGAUGACGGCC
rnacentral:rRNA from 1 species